rnacentral:rRNA from 1 species
UACAGAGGUCUCAAGCGUUGUUCGGAUUCAUUGGGCGUAAAGGGUGCGUAGGUGGCGGGGUAAGUCAGGUGUGAAAUCUCGGGAGCUCAACUCCGAAACUGCACUUGAUACUGCCUUGCUUGAGUACUGGAGAGGAGAUUGGAAUUUACGGUGUAGCAGUGAAAUGCGUAGAUAUCGUAAGGAAGACCAGUGGCGAAGGCGAAUCUCUGGACAGUUACUGACACUGAGGCACGAAGGCCAGGGGAGCAAACGGG